rnacentral:lncRNA from 1 species
GCGCCGGCCGCGUCCCGCCCGCUCCCCGGCACCAGAAGUUCCUCUGCGCGUCCGACGGCGACAUGGGCGUCCCCACGGCCCUGGAGGCCGGCAGCUGGCGCUGGGGAUCCCUGCUCUUCGCUCUCUUCCUGGCUGCGUCCCUAGCCAGGCGUGGUGGCGGGUGCCUGUAGUCCCAGCUACUCGGGAGGCUGAGGCAGGAGAGUUGCUUCAACCUGGGAGGCGGAGGUUGCAGUGAGCUGAGAUUGCACCACUGAACUCCAGCCUGGGCAACAGAGCGAGACUCCAUCUCAAACAACAACAACAACAACAACAGCAACAAAGCCAACCAAACAAACAAGCACUUAGAAUGAUGCCUGGCACAGAGUAGUAGGGGGCAAAAAGACUUGAGCUGGACCCUGAGGACGUCUUCACAGCAUAGAAGCGUGAGGGUGGCUGGCUGGAGCCGGGAGCCUGAGCUGCACACAGUCCUCCUCCAAAAGGGCCUGGGGAGUCUGGGAGGGGUUCAUCCACAGAAGCAUCCACGGGCCGGGACCUCUGGCCAGCUGCCUAGGCCCUCCCUGGGGAGGCAUGCUAGCCUCCAGCUCCAGCCCCGGAUGCACGGAGGCUUUCCCAAGGUGCUGGAAGUGCCGCUUCCUUCAAUAGAGCCUGGCUUCCCCUUCCCAGCCCCCUUGGUCUGAUGUGAAUGGACACUUCCUGCGGGGGCAGGUAUCAAUAAACACAUCUGAG